CAGUAGCCGCGGUAAUACGGAGGGCGCGAGCGUUACCCGGAUUUACUGGGCGUAAAGGGCGUGUAGGCGGCCUGGGGCGUCCCAUGUGAAAGGCCACGGCUCAACCGUGGAGGAGCGUGGGAUACGCUCAGGCUAGAGGGUGGGAGAGGGUGGUGGAAUUCCCGGAGUAGCGGUGAAAUGCGCAGAUACCGGGAGGAACGCCGAUGGCGAAGGCAGCCACCUGGUCCACUUCUGACGCUGAGGCGCGAAAGCGUGGGGAGCAAACCGGAUUAGAGACCCGAGUAGUCCCUGUCUCUUAUAC
rnacentral:rRNA from 1 species